GUGACCUGCGGAAGGAUCAUUACCGAAUUGUCAACACGAGUUGUUGCUGGUCCUCAGACGAGGGCAUGUGCACGCUCUGUUUACACAUCCACUCACACCUGUGCACCCUCUGUAGUUCUAUGGUCUGAGGGGCUCUGUCCUCUCGCCGUGGCUCUAUGUCUUUACACACGCACUGUAAUAAAGUUUCAUGGAAUGCAUGACGCGUUUAACGCAAUACAAUACAACUUUCAGCAACGGAUCUCUUGGCUCUCGCAUCGAUGAAGAACGCAGCGAAAUGCGAUAAGUAAUGUGAAUUGCAGAAUUCAGUGAAUCAUCGAAUCUUUGAACGCACCUUGCGCCCUUUGGCUAUUCCAGAGGGCAUGCCUGUUUGAGUAUCAUGAACACCUCAACUCUCACGGUUCGCCGUGAUGAGCUUGGACUUUGGAGGUCUUGCCGGCCUGUGGUUGGCUCCUCUCAAAUGAAUCAGCUUGCCAGUGUUUGGUGGCAUCCCAGGUGUGAUAACUAUCUACGCUUGUGGCUUUCCACCAGGUAACCUUCAGCGAUGGAGGUUCGCUGGGGCUCACAAAUGUCUCUCCCAAGUGAGGACGGCUUCUCGAAUGUUUGAUCUCAAAUCAGGUAGGGCUACCCGCUGAACUUAAGCAUAUCAAUAAGCGGAGGAAAAGAAACUAACAAGGAUUCCCCUAGUAACUGCGAGUGAAGCGGGAAGAGCUCAAAUUUAAAAUCUGGCGUCCUCUGGUCGUCCGAGUUGUAGUCUGGAGAAGCGUUUUCCGUGUCGGACCGUGUAUAAGUCUCUUGGAACAGGGCGUCAUAGAGGGUGAGAAUCCCGUCUUUGACACGGACUGCCGAUGCUUUGUGAUGCGCUCUCAAAGAGUCGAGUUGUUUGGGAAUGCAGCUCAAAAUGGGUGGUAAAUUCCAUCUAAAGCUAAAUAUAGGCGAGAGACCGAUAGCGAACAAGUACCGUGAGGGAAAGAUGAAAAGCACUUUGGAAAGAGAGUUAAACAGUACGUGAAAUUGCUGAAAGGGAAACGCUUGAAGUCAGUCAUGUCUGCCAGGACUCAGCCUCGCUUCUGCUUGGUGUACUUUCUGGUUUGAUGGGCCAACAUCAAUUUCGACCGUCGGAGAAAGGCUUUGGGAAUGUGGCACCUUCGGGUGUGUUAUAGCCCUUUGUUGUAUACGACGGUUGGGAUUGAGGACCGCAGCACGCCUUUAUGGCCGGGGUUUUCCCACGUACGUGCUAGGAUGUGC
rnacentral:rRNA from 1 species